AACAAAGGUUUGUCUUUAUAUUGAAUAGAGAGCUUAGCUGAUGAUAAUCGUAUAGCCUUUUGGUUGGUGCAAAGUAUAAUGGAAUUGCAAAAACUUUUGAGUGUUGUUGUUACGACUUUUCUUUUCAAUGAUUGUUGCUGACAUCAAUAGCAUUACUAUGUUCCAAUGUUCAGUUCUUUUAGGAUCAGAUGGGUGGCUAGCUCCUUAAGAGAGAAAGAAGAGAUCAAAAGGUUGAGGAAGAGUUUGACGUUUAAGGCUGGUCCCAUGCCCAGUUUCUACAAAAGAGCCACCACCUAAGGUUGAAUUGAAGAAGAUACCAACUACUCUUUCUAAAUCUCCAAAGCUAGCACGCAGAAAGAGUAGUGGUGAUGCAACAGGAGGUGAGACGGGUCCUCCUGUGACAAAACGAAAAAAGAGGAGAGGCUGAAGAACGAAGAAGCAGAGAAAAGAAGAGAGGAAGAGAUGUCUUCUUCCGUGCCUGCUAAACCUGAAGAGAAGAAAUUAGAAACCAACAACAUCCAAGUGAAGGCUGAGAUCAUGACAAGUGAAGUUGCAGGGGGAGGCUGAUCAAAGCAAAGAGAGCGUUUGUGCAUUUGGCAUCUCUGUUUGUUCUUCCUUUUGAAAAGCAUUAGUGUGAAUAGAGUUGUUGCAUUGUGGCUAUUUUAAGAGCUGCUUCACAUUUUUCAGUUUUUAAAAAAAUUUAAGCCUCAGAAUGUUUUUACUCUUACUAUUUGUUGAAUUAAAAAUGUAAAACAUAUAUUAAAUUAUAAGGAUAACAUAUGUGUAAAAUUUGGAGAGUAAAAUAGUGGCGAGUUGUGCAAAUGUUUAUAUAUCAAAGGAGACUGGUAGGGUCUUUAUUUACAGCUAAACAUGUUAGGGUCGGAUACAAAUAUUCUUGCGGGGUGCUUUGUAUUUGCAACAUGUUUGUGGUCGGAAACAAGAUUAUGGUUUAAAUCUGUUUGGGCUUUGGUUGAACGAUUCCUGUAAAUAUUGAUGGAUAGGCCUACUCACACUACUCACUCCUAAGAUUUUCAUUCGUUAACCAUACAAGAUAUUAUGUUUCAAAAUGUUAAGUGUCAUUCUUAGUAUUUAUGCCUCAUUCAUUGUU